rnacentral:rRNA from 1 species
CCAGGUGUAGCGGUGAAAUGCGUAGAGAUCUGGAGGAAUACCGGUGGCGAAGGCGGCCCCCUGGACAAAGACUGACGCUCAGGUGCGAAAGCGUGGGGGAGCAAACAGGAUUAGAUACCCUGGUAGUCCACGCUGUAAACGAUGUCGACUUGGAGGUUGUGCCCUUGAGGCGUGGCUUCCGGAGCUAACGCGUUAAGUCGACCGCCUGGGGAGUACGGCCGCAAGGUUAAAACUCAAAUGAAUUGACGGGGGCCCGCACAAGCGGUGGAGCAUGUGGUUUAAUUCGAUGCAACGCGAAGAACCUUACCUACUCUUGACAUCCACGGAACUUGCCAGAGAUAGCUUGGUGCCUUCGGGAACCGUGAGACAGGUGCUGCAUGGCUGUCGUCAGCUCGUGUUGUGAAAUGUUGGGUUAAGUCCCGCAACGAGCGCAACCCUUAUCCUUUGUUGCCAGCGGUCCGGCCGGGAACUCAAAGGAGACUGCCAGUGAUAAACUGGAGGAAGGUGGGGAUGACGUCAAGUCAUCAUGGCCCUUACGGGUAGGGCUUCACACGUCAUACAAUGGUACAUACAGAGGGCCGCCAACCCGCGAGGGGGAGCUAAUCCCAGAAAGUGUAUCGUAGUCCGGAUCGCAGUCUGCAAC